UCAUAGUCUAAAGGAGGAGAUCCCAAACAACAAAUAUGCAUGAAGGAACCAUAUGUAGAAUAAACAGGAAAUAAUUAAAGGAGGGAAGGCUCAGGAAUUAAGAAGGGUCAGAUGGGGGGGAGGGGGAAGAGGAAGGUCAGGCUUUGUGCAGGAGGUGGAAUUUUAGUGUGAUGAGGCUCAUAGACUUUCAGAUAGAAUUGGAAUGGAUCUCAGAAGUCAUCCAGUAGAGUUCUAUACCAUCAUUUUAUGGCUGGACAGUCUGGCCUCUGAAGGAAAGCUCCAGACCAGCCACACUUCUCUCUGGCCUUUGUUUCAGCUGCCUUCUCCCUCCACCUCUGAAGCCACCUUCUCCCACUGAUUGUCCUCCUGUGGAAGCCUCCCAACUUCUCAAUGUCCUUCUUCAAGGGUGGUACCCAGAGCUGAACCCCAGCACUACAGAUAGGAGACUCUGGUAAUUUGGAUACCAUUACUGGUCACAUUUAAGGAGUUCCUGUCUGCCUUCGUUUUUCCUGUGACCCCGAAGCAAACGUUUGCAAUGGAAAAUGAGCUCUUAGGGAAUGAGGACAUUGAAGACAGUCAGAGUAGGGUUUUAUUUUCCCCAGCACUGCAGUUUUAGGACACCACACCAGGGAGACAUAUCCAGGACUAGAGAGACAAAGCAGGGGCUGUUUUACUGUUGAGCGGGAAAUCUGCCUUGUCCUUUUCUAAAUCCUCCUGAUUUUGACCUUCCCUGGAAAAUGGGUUGGUCUCCUAGUUCUCCUGAACACCAAGUUAGGGCUGGUUCGUAGGGAGAAACGCUACACAAAAGCCUAUGAUAAGAAAAGGCACUUUAUUAAAGAGAGAGAAAUCAAGAUGUUCUCUUAGUGGGCAAUGUCAAAGAAUUGCAAAGAGACAUUUUCUCAGGGCUUACUCUUAUACAGAAACAAAACAAUUUGGGUUUUGCAUCAGAAAGGAACAUACUUGAGAUAGGGUGUGGGAUAAGAAUCUUUCCCAGGGAGUGUAGAUUUUGCAUCCAAAAGGUGCAUAAGGUGUGGGAAGAGUCUUUCCCAGGGAAUGUAGAUGCUCUUCUGGUCUAGCUGACUUGGGAAUCAACCUCAUGAGGUUCCAUCCAACCAUUCCCCCCUCCCCCAUGCUAUUUCCUGCCUAUUGGGAUUUUUC